rnacentral:rRNA from 1 species
UUUAUUGUAAGUUAAUUAAGAUUAAUUCUGUCUUUUAUUUUGAAAUUAGUUAAAUUUUUAUAGUAUUAAAUAUAAGUUUUUGCGUGAAGUUUUUUUUAUCUAAAAGAUAAAUUUAUUUAUUUAUUUGUAGUUUUUAAUUUUUUGUAUUACAUAGUUGUAGAUCUUAGUUAUUGGUGUUAAAGAAUUGUUUAAGGCUGUGCCAGCAAACGCGGUUAUACAGUUUAUUCAAGUUAAUUUUUUUUGGUUAUGUAUUUAUUUAUAUUUUUUGGGAUUAAUUUAUUUUUAUUAGGUGAAAUUCUAAUUUUGAAUAUUUUCUCUUGGUUAAAGAUUAUAUGAAGUUUAGGAAUUAAACUAGGAUUAGAUACCCUAUU